rnacentral:lncRNA from 1 species
CUCAUCUCAAAGUGGAGAAAGAUGAUUUCAUUUAAGUUCAGAUUCAAGUGAUUUUCACAGCUGACUCAGGGUUUCACGCAGUGGCCCAUAGCCCGCUUUUCCAUAUGCUUUUGCACACACCCUCCUCACUGCACAAGGCUCACAGGUGUAUGACUUAAAGCGACCAGUGAGUCCAGGGCACAGUUUAUCUGUUUAGGUGAAUUUCAGUGCAGUGCUAAUGGGGCUCCAGCCUAACCAGAGCUUCCCCAGGGCCUCUGUGAGGCACAAGGAAAGGACACUUCCACAUAUCAUAAGUGGAAGAGUCUUUAAACAAAUUUGCCCUGAAUAAGAUGGGAAGUAUCACUGGCCCAAAAUGAAGCCAACCUGAGAUCCGUCAUUUGCUUCUGACCCUGAACCAGAAAGGAACUGAAAAAUUGACUGGUUGAACUCCCUGAAACAAAUGAUGCUUGAGUGGUUUCAUGCAUAAUAACUGCCUUGAAUGUAAAUAGGGCCAUCAGUCAGCAGGAUGCUGUGGGUUCCCCUCCCUCACUGUGAGGCCCCUCCCAUAGGGACCAAGGCCCCCAGGAACUUCCUGUUCUAGGACACCCCCAGCAAGUCAGGGCCCCUCCUGACCAGGGACCAAGGCUUCGGAGAAGACUCUGGAGAAGGCUCGGAGGAAACUGAGGAAAAAAAUGUUUGAUGAUUGGAGGUUCUUGAGACUAAGAAAUAUUUCCCAGAAACCUCUCCUUGAAUUUCAUUGAAGUACAUGAGUCACAUGCCCCCUUCCUGAAAGGAGAACUGUGUCCAGGGAGGUGAGUGGGUUUGGCCAGGGUUCUGAAGCUAUCCUAGGAGGAGGGCAGAAGCCUCCAAGGACCAAUGGGCAACCCCCCAUCCCACAGGGAACAACUGGGGAGACACUGGAGAGGCCACCAGCACUGUCUGGACUGUGCCCUCCAUAUUUGCUGUCCAGGUGCCUGUGUCGGCUCAGGGGGACUGGGGUAGUUGUCUAAUGAGUGCCAAAGCCAAGGCUAUAACUAAGUGUUGCAAGUAAGCUAGUGUUCGCCAUGGUACACAGAUGGGCAUAUUCUCUUUCUAUAAGUAUGUGUUAAACAUUAGCUAAGUGGCUACUGUGUAUCAGUCACUGCAGUGGACAAAACAGGGGAAGCCAAGGGGAAAAAACAAAACCUCAUCUUCCUUCUGAUGAAUAAUAAAGAUUGAAAUAGAGACCUUAUAUAAGGGUCGGUACUGC